rnacentral:pre_miRNA from 1 species
AAACCCAGAAUAGCGACGGACAGGGUCCUUUAGUCCGUCGCUUUUCUGGGUAUUU